rnacentral:sRNA from 2 species
GGCGGUGCAUGCCAGACAACGAGGUUUACUCACCAGUCACUUUUGAUUCAAUGAUGACUGGGCAUAGUUUCCUGCACAUUGAAGCUUCUCCAUAAUAGCAGAGCGCAUUGAGCACCUAUUAUGAGCAAUUGUCCAAAUGAAAUAGUAUGGAGAAGGCAUCGAUAAGUGACUGCUGUUGUUAUCCCGGGAGAUUGGUACUGUAACAUCCACUGUGCAUGUUUGUCCCCUUGACCCGGAAGUCUCAUCCCAUGGCUCCAAUCAGCGAGCGGCGGAUGCAGCGCGAUUUAGCUUUGUUUUAGCGGAAAUUGCAAGAUUUGACGGUAAAUUCACAACCCA